GACUUUUCUCAAUCUGGAUCUGCAAUUGGUUUUCCACGUUCUCAGUUUGUUUGGGCUCCUUGACUUCAGAAGACCGGAAAUACACAUUCUAUAAAGCCAACCAGAAAUGAAAGCAUCUCACAUAAAAGGCAAUGAAGACAUGUUUACUGAUUAAUCGAUAAAGGGGAAGUAUAGGGGAAGUAUAGCAGGGCUUUUGCUCUUGCUCCUCCACUGGCUGGCCUUGGACAACUGACAUCCCCAGGAUCUCAUCACCAUGGCAUACCUCUCUUAGGUGUCACACUGUCCUUCUUUGCAACCUCCAAGGAAGGGGAAUGUUCUAUCGCAAUUCUACCAAGUCCAUAAACACUUGCUAAGCACCUACUACGUCCCAGGCACUGUGUUAAACAGAUUCAAGGAAAGGCAGAAGAGCCCCUGACCUGAAGGAACUAUUGACCAUUGGUGAGGGAGUCCCUUUGUAAAGUGCUACUGGAUUGAACCUUUGGAGAAACCCUUGGCAGGGGAUGUAGUCUGUUCCCUGGACAAUCCACACCAACUGCUGGAGACCUGGGGCUCAAGUUCUGGAAAUGCAGGUGGACAAAAGAGCAGCUAUGAAG